AUUGAACGCUGGCGGCAGGCUUAACACAUGCAAGUCGAGCGAGCGGCGGACGGGUGAGUAAUGUCUGGGAAACUGCCUGAUGGAGGGGGAUAACCACUGGAAACGGUAGCUAAUACCGCAUACCAUCAGAUGUGCCCAGAUGGGAUUAGCUAGUAGGUGGGGUAAUGGCUCACCUAGGCGACUAUCCCUAGCUGGUCUGAGAGGCUGACCAGCCACAAUGGAACUGAGACUCGGUCCAGACUCCACCAGGAGUCAGCAGUUGGGAAUCUUGCACCAUGGGACCAAGCCUAAUGCAGCAAUGCCGCGUGUGUGAAGGAGGCCUUCGAGUUGUCACGCACUUUCAGCCAGGAGGCUUUACUCGCAGAAGAAGCACCGGCUAACUCCGGGCCAGCAGCCACGGUAAUUC
rnacentral:rRNA from 1 species